UCUGCAGAGGAAAAGGACACUGGGCAACGAAAUGCCCCCAACGGCGAAGGGACGGGGAGACAAGAACUUUCACUGCCGACUGAACUUUGCAGAAAGUGAGGGGGGGGCAGACGGGGAGGAGACGUCCAGCCUACCCACCGAGGAUCAGAGAAGGGAAGGGAAACACACACACAGAAGCUCCAGCACACACACAAAUACAUGCCACUGCAAAGAAGUAUCAGCUUGCAUUACUAACCGCACACACACACACACACACACACACCAGAUUACACACAACUUUGUGGUUCUUAUGUUAAGUACAAUAGUAAUGCCUUUAAGAAAAUGCCUUAACUCCAAGUUAACGGUCACAAACUUAAUGUAAUGGUCGACUCUGGUGCAGGUUAUUCUGUGGUUAGGAUGUCAGAUUUGCCCACAUCUCCUGAGCUGAAUGGUCGCUUUAUAUUCUUUCAAAUGCGCCGCUCAGUUAGACAAACAUCCCAUAAGGUUUGAACAUGAUUUUCUGUUGUCUACCUGUUGGCCAGUUAAUCUAUUAGGAAGAGAUUUGAUGAUUGUGUUAGGCCUCAAUUUAGUAUCCUCCCCUGAUGGAGUGACGGUUACACACAAUUCUUCUUCACCCACCUUCACAAUGUCACAGACCACACAUGAGCAGCUGUUUGCAUAUCAGUUGCAACUUCCUAUAAAUGCCUCCACUGAUCUGCUCUCCACGUCACACUCUCUUAUCACCCUUUUUUCUGAUGUUAUGCACACGGAUUCAUUGCACUGCACUUCACAUGUGACAGACACAUGCUCAUUUGUUGUGACUGAAAAUCACCUUCAUUCUUAUGCGAUGUUGACCAGCCCCUCUGAUGUUUCUCCUCUACUUUCAGAUCUGCCUGAAACAUUGUAGGCUGGUGUAAAUGUCCCCUUCCCUGAUGCACCGGUCCACACUCCACUGUUCCCAGUUAAGAAGAUCAGAGACAAAAGCCUCAGAGGCUCACUAUUCGUGUUAUCCAUGAUCUCCUUAAUUAUUGUUUUUCCAAUUAUUUUGUCGAGACACCCUCCUAGAAAAGCUUCUGAUGAUCUAACAAACUCCUCUUUACCUACAGUGUCCUCUCAGACCCGUCCAGCACAUGCAAAUUUACUAGACACGAGAAAAGUGAUUCAGGUCCCCUUGAUCUGUAACCUAUUCCACAUCACUACUUACCUGGACACUGACAGCACAGAUGAUUCUGAUGACGAUACUCAAAUUUAGUUUUAUUUUACUCUUUUUAUUUUUCAUUUUCAUUUUCAUUUUUAUGUUAUUUUCUCCCUCCAGCUUGCUUAUGUGUUUCUUAGUGAUUUCACUAGACAAAAAACAGCUACUGCAAUUAUCCUUUCAACUUCAUAUUUUCUGAUGCCUUAAUUUAAAUCUCUGAAUUUUUAAGGUUGAUGUGUUACUUUAUGAAGUUUGUACAUACUUAAUAAUAUAUACAUACCACUUCUGUCCGUCCUGGGUGAGGAAUCCCUCACAUGUGGCUCUCUCUAAGGUUUCUACUUAUUUUUCACCCUGUGAAAAGGGUUUUUUGAGUAGUUUUCUUCCUUACGCUUUAUGAGGGUUAAGGGCAGAAGAUGUCACACCAUGUUAAAGGCCUAUGAUAUUUUCAACCUUAGAUAUACUUUAUGUUGACAUUUAACGUUUUAUUACAUUUUAAUAUGAGUUACUUUUGCCAAUCAAUACAGUGUGUUACAUUUUGAUAAUGGUUAAUGAGAAAAUGAUUUUGUUUGACCUGAUUUCCUUCCAUAUUUUUUUCAUUUUGGACGCUUGCUCCAUUACAGGGAAAGAAUUUUUUUUUUUUGUUUCCUUUCCACAAAAACAGCAGUGGCUACCUAUUGUGGCCUCAUCGCCAGUGAUUCUGUAUGUAUGCAAGGUACCAGGGUUGCAGACUCGUCGAUUUUUCUUCUAUGAUUUGAUGUUUGUUAUUGAUAAUGAUUAUGAUGUUUCUUGAUUAUUUUCGUUAGUGAUCAUAUUUUUAUUGAUGAUCAAAUGGGGGAGUGUGAGGGAAAAUUCAACAGACCAGGUGUCUCACUACUGUGGCCUUGGCAAACUGGGAGUUUGCUACAGCGGACGGACACAGCAGAUGAGCACUGAGGAGGAUUUCAUAUCUUUUUCAUAUUAAGUUUUAUGAAGCACCUUUUUGUAUUAAUUCUGGAAUGUCUUCUUUUUCUCAUGCUGUCUUGUGAAACGCCUCUUUGUAUAAGUCCUGGCUUUUUCACCUUCGCAGCCAGUUGUUCCAUCCUGAGCACCCGUGCUUGUUGUGUAUCUCUGCAGAGAUUACUAUUAUAAAGACUCAAUGGCAACUCCA